rnacentral:rRNA from 1 species
UGGGGAAUUUUCCGCAAUGGGCGAAAGCCUGACGGAGCAAUGCCGCGUGGAGGUGGAAGGCCUACGGGUCGUCAACUUCUUUUCUCGGAGAAGAAACAAUGACGGUAUCUGAGGAAUAAGCACCGGCUAACUCUGUGCCAG